rnacentral:tRNA from 1 species
GGUGGCUCAGCGGUAGAGUGCUUGUCUUGCAUGCAAGAGGCCCUGGGUUCUAUUCCUUAGCACCA